UGCUUCAAGGUAUUUGUUGAGA
rnacentral:siRNA from 1 species